rnacentral:rRNA from 1 species
AGAGUUUGAUCCUGGCUCAGGAUGAACGCUGGCGGCGUGCUUAACACAUGCAAGUCGAACGGUGAAGCAGAGCUUGCCCUGUGGAAAGGGCGAACGGGUGAGUAACACGUGAGCAAUCUGCCCCUGACUCUGGGAUAAGCGCUGGAAACGGCGUCUAAUACCGGAUACGAGCUGCGACCGCAUGGUCAGUAGCUGGAAAGAAUUUCGGGUCAGGGAUGAGCUCGCGGCCUAUCAGCUUGUUGGUGAGGUAAUGGCUCACCAAGGCGUCGACGGGUAGCCGGCCUGAGAGGGUGACCGGCCACACUGGGACUGAGACACGGCCCAGACUCCUACGGGAGGCAGCAGUGGGGAAUAUUGCACAAUGGGCGCAAGCCUGAUGCAGCAACGCCGCGUGAGGGAUGACGGCCUUCGGGUUGUAAACCUCUUUUAGCAGGGAAGAAGCGAAAGUGACGGUACCUGCAGAAAAAGCGCCGGCUAACUACGUGCCAGCAGCCGCGGUAAUACGUAGGGCGCAAGCGUUAUCCGGAAUUAUUGGGCGUAAAGAGCUCGUAGGCGGUCUGUCGCGUCUGCUGUGAAAACCCGAGGCUCAACCUCGGGCCUGCAGUGGGUACGGGCAGACUAGAGUGCGGUAGGGGAGAUUGGAAUUCCUGGUGUAGCGGUGGAAUGCGCAGAUAUCAGGAGGAACACCGAUGGCGAAGGCAGAUCUCUGGGCCGUAACUGACGCUGAGGAGCGAAAGGGUGGGGAGCAAACAGGCUUAGAUACCCUGGUAGUCCACCCCGUAAACGUUGGGAACUAGUUGUGGGGUCCAUUCCACGGAUUCCGUGACGCAGCUAACGCAUUAAGUUCCCCGCCUGGGGAGUACGGGCGCAAGGCUAAAACUCAAAGGAAUUGACGGGGACCCGCACAAGCGGCGGAGCAUGCGGAUUAAUUCGAUGCAACGCGAAGAACCUUACCAAGGCUUGACAUAUAGAGGAAACGUCUGGAAACAGUCGCCCCGCAAGGUCUCUAUACAGGUGGUGCAUGGUUGUCGUCAGCUCGUGUCGUGAGAUGUUGGGUUAAGUCCCGCAACGAGCGCAACCCUCGUUCUAUGUUGCCAGCACGUAAUGGUGGGAACUCAUGGGAUACUGCCGGGGUCAACUCGGAGGAAGGUGGGGAUGACGUCAAAUCAUCAUGCCCCUUAUGUCUUGGGCUUCACGCAUGCUACAAUGGCCGGUACAAAGGGCUGCAAUACCGUGAGGUGGAGCGAAUCCCAAAAAGCCGGUCCCAGUUCGGAUUGAGGUCUGCAACUCGACCUCAUGAAGUCGGAGUCGCUAGUAAUCGCAGAUCAGCAACGCUGCGGUGAAUACGUUCCCGGGUCUUGUACACACCGCCCGUCAAGUCAUGAAAGUCGGUAACACCUGAAGCCGGUGGCCCAACCCUUGUGGAGGGAGCCGUCGAA